rnacentral:tRNA from 1 species
GCGCCUGUGGCGGAACUGGUAGACGCGCAAGGUUGAGGGCCUUGUGAGCUGUUUAGGCUCGUGGAGGUUCGACUCCUCUCAGGCGCA